rnacentral:rRNA from 1 species
GAACGCACUCUCGUUUAGAUUGAAGGAGCUUGCUCCUGAUUGAUAAACAUUUGAGUGAGUGGCGGACGGGUGAGUAACACGUGGGUAACCUGCCCUAAAGUGGGGGAUAACAUUUGGAAACAGAUGCUAAUACCGCAUAAAACCUAACACCGCAUGGUGUAGGGUUGAAAGAUGGUUUCGGCUAUCACUUUAGGAUGGACCCGCGGUGCAUUAGUUAGUUGGUGAGGUAAAGGCUCACCAAGACCGUGAUGCAUAGCCGACCUGAGAGGGUAAUCGGCCACACUGGGACUGAGACACGGCCCAGACUCCUACGGGAGGCAGCAGUAGGGAAUCUUCCACAAUGGACGAAAGUCUGAUGGAGCAACGCCGCGUGAGUGAAGAAGGUUUUCGGAUCGUAAAACUCUGUUGUUGGAGAAGAAUGUAUCUGAUAGUAACUGAUCAGGUAGUGACGGUAUCCAACCACAAAGCCACGGCUAACUACGUGCCAGCAGCCGCGGUAAUACGUAGGUGGCAAGCGUUGUCCGGAUUUAUUGGGCGUAAAGCGAGCGCAGGCGGUUUCUUAAGUCUCAUGUGAAAGCCUUCGGCUCAACCGAAGAAGUGCAUCGGAAACUGGGAAACUUGAGUGCAGAAAAGGACAGUGGAACUCCAUGUGUAGCGGUGAAAUGCGUAGAUAUAUGGAAGAACACCAGUGGCGAAGGCGGCUGUCUGGUCUGUA